rnacentral:tRNA from 1 species
GCGACCGGCGUACCGCGGCCGCGCCGGCCGCUCGGGCCGGCCGGUUCGGUGCCGGCCGGUUCGGUGCCGGUCGGUCCGG